rnacentral:lncRNA from 1 species
GGCCGACUGGCGUGGACCACAUGGCUUCCCCACUGGUUCAAACGUCACGGAGCAGGUUCCCCCCGAUAGGCACGGAGACCAGGGAGCAGAAUACAGCAGUUCCUGGAUGCCGCCUUGUUUCUUACAGAGGAAGGCAUCUACAAACCCGUGUGUCGAGUGCCAUGCCUGACGGUACAGAACGAUCGCGUCUUCGAGAAAGAACAGCCACCCUGGAACAGUUGUCAAGGCCCAGCACAACCCACACGUUCCGGGUAGGUUCUCCGUUUCCUAUAACUUUAAUUUUGAAAAAACAUUUGAAAAAAAUGAAACUUGUCCCUGAUUUUAUUUUUCUUCCAGCAGUCGGAUACGCCUCGAAAAAGUUCAUUGACACAAAUGGAAUUUGCUGCUCACACAUGGACAGGUCAAAGUAUUUUGACAGGUUCACAAUAUGUGCCUAAAUCUUUUCAGAGGACAACUUUGACUUUCAAGAAGAGAUUCCAAGUGACAUCUUGAAACCACCUCACCAGAACCAUUGGAGCACUCGUGGCCUCAGCACACUGCUUAUCACUUGAAAAAUGGAGGAACAAGUGUUAUAUUUAUCUGUGUGUCUGACAGUGUGAGAUGUUAGACCGAGAGAAAAGCAAACAAAUAAAUCACUUAAUCUUGAACACUUUGCACUGUAAAGAGAGUGAAAGUCAAACCCACCAAGCUGCCUUGCUGAAAGCAUCUCCAAGGUUCUGUAGGCUUUGUUCAGAAGACCCUGAUGUGUGUUUGCAGUCCGUCAUUUUAUCAAUGAUACACAAACAUAAUUAGCAUGUGUAUGUACUCACACACUAAUUACAUGUAAGAAUAUAUUAUCUAGGAAUAUGUCAUUUGUAACUUUGUACUCUGACGUAUUUUCUAGUCUCACCCUAUUAGUAAUUCUGUCAAAAUCCUAGACACUAGUAGAUAUUAGUAUUUGAGACAAUAUGUCAGAGUCUGAAUAAGACUCAGCUUGUUCUAGUCACGCUGAGUUUCUCAUACAUUUUUUAAAAGUGCUUCCGCCAUGAACCUCUUUGAGAAAUGUCAGUGGCAAAAUCUCCCAAGCUAAUUUUCUUUUUCUAUGUUCCAUCUUCAAAUUCAGACAGUUCACGUGAAGUACCCCACAUUUAUUGAUCUUAGGGUUGAAUAUAAACGUAAUUAAAAGCUAUGGCAGGUGAUGUCAUCUUUAUUGUUUACAGUUGAAGCUCCUCCAUGGUAGGGGAGCCUCCCACCCUCCACGUGCCAUCGGGAGCUGGCCUUUGCCCAGACGCCACCACUGCAAUGACACCUUCCCAGAGCCCUCAUCUCCUUGCGCUCUGUCCUGCUCGGCCUGGCUUUUCUUCAGAGUGUGUUUCCCCAUCUGACAUUACUGUAGAAAAUGGAGCAGAGAACAGGAAGGGGAAUUAGCAGAGGUGAGGCUCCAGGCAUGUCUUCCUCUUGUCCCUCUCCCCACUGUUUCUCUUGAUUGUGAUUCAAGUCCUUACACUCAUUUUUACAUUCUCAGAUCUCAAAUCAGCUAAUUUCUUCUUUUCUAUCAGAUAAUUGCAUUUCAUCAGUCUAAUUUUUACUAAUCCAAACUAACUUUAUAAGGCUAUAUAUAUGAGCAUAUUUAUAAACUUAGAUUUAUAAACUAUAUACACACAUAUAUGUAUCAUAUAAAUGCAUAAUAAAUUACUUUCAGACUAUUUCUGGCUGUAAGGAGAAGGGAUCAUUGCCUAGGAGUAGAUGUCUGAAAUUUUAAAAGAUGUGUUGAGACUAACAUUAGUGUUGUCCUUUAUCACAGGGGUGACAAAAAUGACCCAGAGCCUUGCCUCUGUUUGAAAAUUUCUCCUUGACUUUGCUGACUCCAUUUCUUUUUUCUUUUCUUUUCUUUUUUUUUUUUUGAAACGGAGUCUGGCUCUGUCGCCCCGGCUGGAGUGCAGUGGCACGAUCUCGGCUCACUACAACCUCCACCUCCUGGGCUCAAGCGAUUCUCCUGCCUCAGCCUCCUGGGUAGCUAGGAUUACAGGUGCAUGCCACCACACCCAGCUAAAUUUUUUUUGUAUUUUUAGUAGAGGCAGGGUUUCACCAUGUUAGCCAGGCCAGUGUUGAACUCCUGACCUCAGGUGAUCCGCCCACCUCGGCCUCCCAAAGUGCUGGGAUUACAGGCGUGAGCUUCCGCGCCUGGCCAGCUGACUCCAUUUCUAUAGCAAUGAGACACAUUAGGCAGCAGCAGCCGCAGUGACCACCAGGUCCAUGCCUCUUCCAUGGUCACAGCUCCAUGUGUCCAGGGAAGAUUGCUAAUGCUUAGUCUCCCCACAAAGCAAACCAAAGCAUUUUUGAGAAUUUUCUACAUUAUUCCUAAACAUUAGCAAUAGAAACUUUUAAGAGCAAAUGCCAGUCUUAAUUCAGCAGCUCUCCCACUUGAGGAAUAGUUAGAUAUGUGAGUAGCCUGGAGCCCAUGUUAUAGGGCUGCUGGUUAGGUGCUCUCUGGUGCAUCAUUACUGCUCAAAGCAUGACCCACUUGCUCUUUCAGAUCCAUCAGGGUAUUUUAUGUCCAUUUCCAGGAACCAUCCAACUCCUUCCCUAUUCAGUCCAAACUUCCUUUUUUUUUUUUUUUUUUUUUACUUGAAGUUCAGGGGUACAUGUGCAGGUUGUUACAUAGGUAAACUUGUGUCGUGGGAGUUUGUUGUACAGAUUAUCACCCAGGUAUUAAGCCUAGUAUCCAUUAGUUAUUUUUCCUGAUCCUCUCCCUCCUUCCACCCUCCACCCUUUGAUAGGCCCUAGUGUGUGCUGUUCCCCUCUGUGUCCAUGUGUUCUCAUCAUUUAACUCCCACUUAGAAGUGAGAACGGAUGGCAUUUGUUUUUCUGUUUCUGCAUUAGUUUGCUAAGGAUAAUGACUUCCAGCUCCAGCCAUGCCUCUGCAAAGGACAUAAUCUCAUUCUUUUUUAUGAGCUCAAGCUUCGUAGUAGGGAAAACACCGGAUAUUCAGUCUAAACUAACAUUAAGGUAGGGUAUCCAAGAUAAAAUGUUUUUUCUUUGAAAACCACUGAAUAUACUUUAUGGUAGCUUUACCUUGUUUGGCUCCAGAGGUUUGCAAAUAAGAAUCUAUUAUUUAUAUAUAUAUUGGUAAAAGACAAAAUAUUUUUUAAAAAGUGAUCUUGAGUCUUCUAAACAUUAAAUUGGAAGAUAAAGUGCCAUUUUAGAGAUUACAUAGAGACUUGGCCCUGUCAUUGAUUUUAAAAAUGACCUUCUCAUUGCACUGAUUUUUACCCCAUGUUAAAGUUAGUAUUUUAUUUAUACAUUAAAUUAGAUUUAGAGAUUAGUAAAUAAUGCUUAUAUCAAGGAUGGUGCUUUUUAAGCUAAUUAGGUAAAAAUUAGGGCAGUGUUUUAUAAUCUACUUUAAUAAAUGAGUCUUACCUUAGAAUUAAUCUGUUAAAAAUUAAAAAAGAAAAAUUGAACUACUUCUGAGAUAGAUUUUUAAAUUCAGAUUAGUGAAUUUUACACUAAUUGAGUUACAUUAAUUAAAAUGCCUGUUAGUUUAUCCAAAACCAAAGAAAGAAUGAAGAAAUUUUUAAACAAUCUAAGAAAAUGUAAAAUACCAUAGAAAACUGCUAGAUUUUGUGAAUUUAAUAUAAA